GCCUGCUUAGCUCAGUGGUAGAGCGCGUCACUAGUAAUGACGAGGUCGCCAGUAAGUACACCCAUUCGAGUCGCACCGAGGACA